rnacentral:misc_RNA from 1 species
AAGUCGUAACAAGGUCUCCGUUGGUGAACCAGCGGAGGGAUCAUUAAAGAGUUGCAAAACUCCAAACCCACUGUGAACUUUACCUAUGUCGUUGCUUUGGCAGGCAGCCCCAGGGCGGGGCUUUGACCUAAGUUUUAGGUGUCUGCCAAAAGCAUAAUUUAAUUCUAUUUUUUUUACUUUAUUAUCUGAGUUUUAAAACAAAUAAGUUAAAACUUUCAACAACGGAUCUCUUGGUUCUG